CUCCUCAUUUGCACAAGUGGGAUUAUAGUUGCACCUCCCAGGAUUGUUGUGAAAGUGACAGAAAGAAUGUAUGUAAAUUGCUUAGCAUGCCUAGUACAUAGUGCUGCUGCUAAGUCACUUCAGUUGUGUCUGAUUCUGCGACCCCAUAGAUGGCAGCCCACCAGGCUCCCCCGUCCCUGGGAUUCUCCAGGUGAUUCUAAGGUACAUCAGGCUUUUAGAAUGACAAUCCAGAAAGCAAGGGAGCAUUGCCAGGACAAGUCAGGAGCGAGGAUAGCAGUUAAAGAAGCGUAUUCCUAUUAAGGAAGGGUACUGUCAUCAUUAUCUCCAGCGCAGACGAGGACACUUACACGCCCUUUAACGAGGCUUACGGAUCCUUAGUUUUGCAAGUACCUAACCUACAGAGUGUGUGAGCAGCAGAGCCAGCAUUCAAUGGAAAGAGGGAGGAAAGUCUUUCUGAUUCCACCUGUGUCUGCUGCUUUCCUGCCAUCUCUUCAACAGAUUUGUCCCACUGUUGCAAACAUAAGCUGGUAAUACACAAACGCGUAGUCAGAACAAAAAAUUUAAAAAGACAGAACAAAUCCCAUCUGGGCAUUGAUCUGUAUCUCUGGAAUUCAGCGUGGUGUUCUCUCUCAUUUUGGCCAUGCAGACCUUCCAUGGCUUGCUUUUCGCUUCUCUGGUGCCAACGCUGUUUUUGACAAUUGUUUAACGUCCUAUAUGCAUUAAAGACUUUUUCUUUUUUAAAAAAUCUUUAUUGGAGUAUAACUGAUUUACAAUGUUGUGUUAGUUUCAGGUGUACAGCAAAGUGAAUCUGCUAUCCAUACACACAUAUCCACUCUCGUUUAGAUUAUUUUCCCGUGUAGACC
ensembl:lncRNA